CAGCUUAAAGGAGAUGGCUAUCCUCCUUAUACAAACCGCCAAUUCUGGCUGAUGAUACCUACGUUUCC
rnacentral:ncRNA from 2 species